UUAUUUGUAGGUUUUUGCAAAGAGGCUGUCCGAGGAAAAAAUGGAUGGUUUGAAAGAGUAGGUUUUGCACUAUGUCGGUGUUGGUUCGCGAUUUCAAAUUUGGAGUAGUAUGUCCUUUUGAUUGAUAACUCAAACAGCAGGUCCUUUUUCUAGCGAGUUUUCGUCGGGGAAGCAAGGGAAAUCGAAGGGGACGGAGUUCAAGCAGGCGAUAAAAGUUGGAGAAGAGGGAAACAAAUACUUUACUCGUCGCAUUUAUGGACCGACAUCCACCAUUUGGGUUCUGAAUAAUCUACAACUGCUGAUACAAUGGUAGGUUUGAUAGUUAUAAAAUUUUAAUUUAGGGUCACGUGACAUCAGUCUCUUAAUCUAUCCGUCAUAUCGAGAGACAUCGUGUACGCUUAUUGAUAAAACUUUUUUGCUCCUUACU